rnacentral:rRNA from 1 species
UACGGGGGGGGGCAAGCGUUGUUCGGAAUUACUGGGCGUAAAGGGCUCGUAGGCGGCCAACUAAGUCAGACGUGAAAUCCCUCGGCUUAACCGGGGAACUGCGUCUGAUACUGGAUGGCUUGAGUUGGGAGAGGGAUGCGGAAUUCCAGGUGUAGCGGUGAAAUGCGUAGAUAUCUGGAGGAACACCGGUGGCGAAGGCGGCAUCCUGGGCC